AGCAACACUGUCAUCAACACUGAGUCACAUGAUUUCUAGGAAUCACAUGUUGCACCCUCCUCAUUUUCUAGGGCAAAAGUGCCCUCAGAGUUGCAAUGCUUGUUUGCAUUAAACUCCUAAAUCAGUCUUCUUCAACCUCCAAACCUUCAGAUUGACUGGGAAUUGUGACAACGGCAGAUCCACACAUCUGAAAAGUCCUAAGCUAGGGAAGGGCAGGCUUGUUGAAUUGAAGGGAAGGAUGAAAUGAGACACUGGAUCUACAGUUCCAAAAUGCAGCAUAACAGGAGGCAUAAAGAAUCUUGAAAUGCAAGUCAACAGCAACAUUGUCAAAUACAGACUCUGCUCAGGCAGAUGGGACUACGCUACACGCAAGGAAAAGGUUGCCAGCAAAGUUCCAGGCUCAGUUUUCAGUUUGUAACACUGGAACUGCAUUGGAUUGACAAGCUGGCUGCGAGACUGUAUGAGGUGAGAACCAAAAGCCGCAUUACCAAGGCACUGGGGGUGGGGGGUUGAGCUAGAAAAUCUGCUUUCCCCAGAAUGGGAGUGAACUGGAGCCAGGCAAGACCACGUGUCUCUGACUUUAAAAGCUGGAAAAAGCAUUAUACAAAAGAGGCAAGGAGUCCAGCAGAACUCUUGUCUUGCUGCCAUCCAGGAUUCAAGAGGUUUCUUAGGUUUUUCAAGAGGACAAAGAAAAUGUCAGUCCCACCUGUUAACCUAAGGUGAAAGCAGAAGCACUGACGGGAAAACUUUCUUUCAAAUCCCUGCAACUCUCUGUUCCUUCUGGUGCCUCUUGGCAGGGCUCUGCGCUUUGCACAUGAAAAAGCCUGUGUAAAUGGGGACAACAAAAGUGAACGUCAUUGUUGUUUGUCCCUACAGCGAAACAGUAGCUGUACUCAACGCUGGGAUGGACUUGGCAGUGCCAGCUUGGGACUGUUUCUACUCCCAUCUCGGCCUCAGAGGUCGCAUGCCUCUCCCUCUC